GACGUAGGUGGCGAACGUUAUCCGGAAUUAUUGGGCGUAAAGGAUGCGUAGAUGGUGUAGUAAGUUAUCGGUGGCAAAUCGAGGCUCAACCUCGUGGAAGUCGGUAAUACUGCUAUGCUAGAGGAUAGGAGAGGUUAACGGAACUCCCUGUGGAGCGGUGAAAUGCGUAGAUAUAGGGAAGAACACCAAUCAGGCGAAGGCAGUUAACUAUUCUAUUCCUGACAUUGAGGCAU
rnacentral:rRNA from 1 species